AUGGACGGCAGGGCCGGCGGCGGCGGUAGCGGCGACUACAUUUCCAGCCUCCUCACCUCGUCGCCGAUGCUCGACUUCGGUGUGCUGGACGGCGCCGUGGCGGCGGGCGGGGACUGCCUGGAGAAGUUCUGCGGCGACCCGGGGUUCGCGGAGCGGGCGGCGCGGCUGUCCAGCUUCAACGGGCAGCACUUCACGCCAGGGCUCUUCGGGAUGCCGCCGCCGGCGCCCGGCGCGGGCAACGGUGAGUUCGGCGGCUCGCGGGAGGCGUCUUCCGUGUCAGACCCUGCCUCGGCGAUGAAGGACGCCAAUGCCAAGAAGAGGAAGGCGCCCGCGGGCAAAGGCAAAGCCAAGGAGCCUUCCCUCAGCACCUCUUGCCAGGUCGGGGAGCAGAAGGAGUCGGACGGCAAGAGGUGCAGGACGGGCGACGCCGAGAAGAAGGUGAAGCCCAAGGCGGAGCAGGCCGGCAGCGACAGCUCGGUGGAGGACGGCGAGCAGAGGAAGGGCGGCAAGGGGAAGAAUGCCAAGCCGGUGGAGCCCCCCAAGGACUACGUCCAUGUCCGGGCAAGGAGAGGCCAGGCCACUGACAGCCACAGCCUGGCAGAGCGGGUGAGAAGAGAGAGGAUCAGUCAGCGGAUGAAAUUUCUCCAGGACCUCGUUCCAGGAUGCAACAAGGUGAUUGGCAAGGCACUGAUGCUUGAUGAGAUCAUAAACUACGUGCAGUCGCUUCAGCGGCAAGUCGAGUUCCUCUCCAUGAAGCUCGCAACCGUGAACCCGCUCGACUUCAGCAACCUGCCCACGCUCCUGCACAAAGACAUGUACGGCCCAUCGGCGAGCUCGGUGUUCUCGCUGGAGAGCUCCAGCUCGGCCUUCCCGUUCAGCGACCAAGGAGACGUCUUCCAGUCCUUCCUGCCCAACAGCAUGGAGAGCCAGUGCACCCUGAAUCAGCUGGACCUGGCUCUGUCUCAGGCCACCAACGCGGCGCAGUACGCCUUCCAGGAUGGGACGGCCACGGCCAGCACGAACCUGCAGCAGCAGAGGAACUUCUGGGAGGAUGAUCUCCAGAGCGUUUUUCAUGUGGACAACAGGCAGAGCCAGGAUAACGGGGUUUCCGCAGAGAGCUUCCACGGUGAUCUGCAGGCAGGUCAGAUGAAAAUGGAGUUCUAG
rnacentral:rRNA from 1 species